UCAUAAACCUAACCGAAUAUUGCGAUCUCUGUUCCGCGUCUUUUUUUUUUCUUUUUUCCAAGCUUGAAACCCUUCAACAAAACCCAUGAAUAGAACUUCACCACUUCCAUUGGUCACCACCGUAAAUCAAUAAGAGUAACCAAAUCACAAAACAACACCCAUCUGAGUGGUUAAUACCCCGUAAACCAAAACCCAUCUGUUUUUUUUUCUUCCAUAUUUUAUCUCAUGAAGUUCUUCAUUUUUUAGAGAUUUUGAAGAUGGAAAAAAGGAAGAUAUGUUGAUGUCUCUUGUCCCCUGUUAUCGUACAUCGAUUUUGGGUAAGAAGAUCUGUGUUAAUUUGAAAUCUUUUCUUGUUAUCCGGGGAUUUUCGAAAUUUUGAUUUAAGUAUUGAUUCAAAUAGGUUUAUGUACUCUUAUGUUGUGAGUUUUCUUAUCGGUUCAUGUUAAACUUCCUGUAAUUUCUUAACUUCCUUCGUUGGUUUUUUAUUCUGGGAAGAAGAAGAAGAAGAAAAUGAUUUGACCGUAAUGAACAUGUUAGGGGUUUAAUUGCAAAUCAACUCAUUUUGGUUUGUUGAUAACUUCAUGUCCUUUAGCUGUUUGUUGAAAUGAUUAACUAGAAUCUGCUUGGUUUAUAAAUAGAUGUGCGGUACCAGGAGAAACAAAAUUCAGCUUUGGUUCCUUGAUGCGUUUAAUUAUGCUAUUGCAAUCAAGAUGGAUCUUCUGAAUUUGAGUAUAAGAGGCCAUUGAUUAAUUGGACCUUGCUUUUAUUGAGAAGGUAAAACAUUUGUUGGAUUGGCAUGGGGAUUACCUGCAUACCAAAAUUUAUGAUUAUGUUCAAUUUAUAUGCAUGUUACUAUUUGUUUAGUUUGUAAAGAAUGGGAAGCAGAAAGAGGUCAGGGGAUAACUUACAUGGGAAGGGAAAGGAGGUUUGGAUUAACUUAGAAAAUUUGAUGAAGCAACAUCCAAUCAACUGAGAUUGAGACUUGAAAUGGCAUGCCACUCUGCUGCAGAUAAAUGUCGAAAGCGUCUAUUUUAAUAGACGUGAAUCCCCAACAUUUCUCUUCCGCACCGACAACUUAUGAUCUCAAACCAUUGCCUAUGUAAAGGUUUAUAUUAGUGUAUCCACUUAUGCUAUAAAUUGUUGCAGGAAUUAGAUUUUAUAGUUCUGCAAUCUCGAUGAAGCUACAUGUUAGUGAAAAGAUGCGGCCAUUGUCUAUGGGGUGUUGGCAAGAUCUAUUAACUAGGCUUGGUACUUUUAAAUAGAGAUCCAAGACAAUACCAGUGGCGGGUAUUGGUUGCCGAGGAGUUUUCCCAGUUGUCGCGAACCUCCUAGCAUGGCCUUUAAAGUAUGCAUUGAUGGUUGCCACGAGUUUGUUUGAUUUUCUUUUGUAUCACAGCACUGGUAAGCUUUUAUACCAUGCAACAUUUUGUAUUGCUUUAGGUUGUAAGACAAAAUAUGAAAUACAAAAGAAAAAAAAUAUCGUUGAACGUCGGAAAAGAAA